AGCGAACGUUAGCGGCGGGCCUAACACAUGCAAGGCGAACGCGAAAGGGCUUCGUCCCCGGUAGCGUGGCGUCCGGGUGAGUAACACGUAGGAAACCUUCCCUAGAGAGUGGGAGAACGUUCCGAAAGGGACGCUAAUACCGCAUCAGCCAACGACCACUUCGGGGGAUGCGGGAAAAGAUGGCCUCUGUACACAAGCUAACACUUUGGGAUGGGCCGGCGGCGCAUCAGCUAGUUGGUAGGGUAAUGGCCUACCAAGGCGAAGACGCGUAGCUGGUCUGAGAGGAUGAUCGGCCACACUGGCACUGAAACACGGGCCAGACUCCUACGGGAGGCAGCAGUGGGGAAUAUUGGACAAUGGGCGCAAGCCUGAUCCAGCCACGCCGCGUGAGUGAUGAAGGCCUUCGGGUUGUAAAGCUCUGUGGGGAGAGGCGAAAACAGUCAUCAAGAAACGGAUGAUUCUUGACGGUAUCUCCUUAGCAAGCACCGGCUAACUCUGUGCCAGCCGCCGCAGUAAUAC
rnacentral:rRNA from 1 species